ACAAGUUAGGAUAGAAGUAGAGUAUUCUGAGACUUAUAUGAUAGAUAAUGGAACUCCGCAAGGAAGUUUAAUAUUAUGAUUAAUGAUAUUUUUAGUAAUUUUAAGAGUGACAUUUGAAGGGCAUUAUUUGCAGAUGACGGGGCAAUAUGGAAAAGAGAUAGUAAUAUUGCAUGUGUGUCCCAAAGAUUACAAAAAGAUGUAGAUGAAGUGGAGGUAUGGGAAAAUAACUAGAGUUUAGUUGCCCAUACCUUACUAGUGCUUCACACUCCAGUCCAGUUGGUGGCGGUAAAUGUAUCAAAAGUGGGUUUGCCAUCCGCCAUUAAAAGUCAAUAGAAGAAAAAUAACACAUCAGUGAACACCAUAGAUUGGUGAACACAACCAGAAUUGAGUUUUUUUGGGAAGUUGGAAUUAAAAGUAAAGUUACAGUGCAAGAACAAUAUAGUGACUGAUUUCGACACGCAUAAAUCUGGGUAUCAGAAAUUUAGAAGGAGGUAAAAAACACUGCUGGAUAUCAGGAUCUUGUUUAAAACAGGUCUGUUUCAUCGAACCACAUGGGGAUCAAAAAUCUUUUUUAUCUUCAGUAUUUUUUAUCUUCAGUACAGCCCUUCACAAAUUAUUAGAGGAAUAAUUGCUAUUAUUUAACAAGUGAAGGUCAGCUUCAUCAUAUGAAAAAUUAGUAAUGAAGACACUGAGGAUCAAACAGAUCUAAGGGAACUGGCAGAUGCAUCAGGAUCAUCACAUGAUUCUGUAAUAACACAACAAUCUAGUUGUUUGCAGAUAAAAAACAAUUUCCCAAAAGCCUUUCACCUGCCCUCAGUGUGAGAAAAGUUACAGAAGGAAAGGUAACCUUAGAGAGCACAUAAGAACUCACACCGGAGAGCGUCCAUACUCAUGCCUUCAGUGUGAAAAGAGUUUCAUAAACAAAUCGAAUCUAACGGUCCACAUGAGAAUUUACACCGGAGAGAAACCGUACACGUGUCCUCAGUGUGGAAACAGAUUCAGACACAAAACUCAUCUUGAGGACCACAUGAGAAUUCACACCGGAGAGCGCCCAUACACAUGUCCUCAGUGUGAAAAGAGUUUCACACAACAAAGUAGUCUUAAAACCCACAUGACCAUUCACACUGGAGAACGCUUGCACACAUGUCUUCAGUGUGGAAAGAGUUUCACACAAAAAAAUAGGCUUAAAAUCCACAUGACAAUUCACACAGGAGAGCACCCAUACCCAUGUCUUCAGUGUGGAAAGCGUUUCAGAGAGAAAGGAAACCUAACGCUCCACAUGAGAAUUCACACUGGAGAGCGUCCAUACCCGUGCCUUUAGUGUGGAAAAAGUUUCAGAUACAAAACUAAUCUAACGAUUCACAUGAGAAUGCACACUGGAGAACGUCUAUAUCCAUGUCUUAAGUGUAAAAAGAGUUUCAAACAAAAAAAAGGUCUUGAGAACCACAUGAGAAUUCACACUGGAAUUUGUCAGACUGGGGAGCGUUAAAAUCUCUGCGAAACGGAAGUCGUGAUCGACUUUACUUCUGUGUUUCCGAGUGAAACAGAAUAUGACAUGAGAAAUAGCAGGGGGCGUGGCUUGUUUUUACACUUUGCUUUGAUUGGAUAUGAAAGUCGUUUUUUUUCCAGAAAUGGAACUUGCAGCAGACUGACAGUUGGAGGGGCGGAGUAAAUAGAUGCUCCCGUCCAAACCAUUUAGCUGAAACUUCAUCUGAUAAAUUCAUCUGAUAAAUUGUGUAUAAUAAACACUGCAGUUUCACUUUAGAGAAUAAAACUUUUUUUUAUUUAAUUGGGACUUUAAGGUAGGGCUGCACGAUAAAUCGCAUGUGAACCAUAGCUGGUUCCUUGAUUAGUAAUAAAUCGCCAUCAGCUGCUUUUAGAUGGAGCGGCAUUUACUACACAGAGCCGUAGUUCACUGACAAUAGGGGAAAUAUCGCAUUCAUAAUCAUGCAUGAAUCCUACGAUUAUGAAUGCGAUAUUUCUGCUCUUGUCUGUGAACUACGGCUCUGUGUAGUAAAUGCCGCUCCAUCUGAAAGCAGCUGAUGUGAAAGUUUAAAAACUUAAAAACCUUAUGACAUAUCCUAACAUAUAUCAGUGCCAUUGUUCUGUCUCAAGAUGCACACCAGUAUUGUUUUUGUAAGGUUUGUUUGAAAAAACUACUUAAAUGUCCUAAUAUAUAC